GGGGGUGACCAGGGCUCGACGGUGACUGGAAUUCCAACGUGCAUGCCGAGGUGCUUUCUUCCUCGUAAAACUUGAAAGCAAACAAGCUAGUUGCGAACGACUCCAACUACGCCCUCGCAGCCUAAUCCCUGUGAGCGAUUGACCAGACGGUGUUGAUGCCCCUGAAUCAAUCGUCGACUCUCAUCAACUCGCGGUAACGCAGGCUACUGGCCGAUCCGCUAAAUCCUCAAAGUAGAUAAGCGCAAGCGAUCCGUGCCGGUUCGGGAGUUUGCGAUGAAAAACAAAAAUUCGGCUAAGCAUGUAGAUCGAAGGCUGGAAGGUUGUCGGACGCGGGUUCGAUUCCCGCCACCUCCACCA
rnacentral:tmRNA from 1 species